rnacentral:rRNA from 1 species
UAGGGAAUCUUCCACAAUGGACGCAAGUCUGAUGGAGCAACGCCGCGUGAGUGAAGAAGGUUUUCGGAUCGUAAAGCUCUGUUGUUGGUGAAGAAGGAUAGAGGCAGUAACUGGUCUUUAUUUGACGGUAAUCAACCAGAAAGUCACGGCUAACUACGUGCCAGCAGCCGCGGUAAUACGUAGGUGGCAAGCGUUGUCCGGAUUUUUUGGGCGUAAAGCGAGCGCAGGCGGAAUGAUAAGUCUGAUGUGAAAGCCCACGGCUCAACCGUGGAACUGCAUCGGAAACUGUCAUUCUUGAGUGCAGAAGAGGAGAGUGGAAUUCCAUGUGUAGCGGUGGAAUGCGUAGAUAUAUGGAAGAACACCAGUGGCGAAGGCGGCUCUCUGGUCUGCAACUGACGCUGAGGCUCGAAAGCAUGGGUAGCGAACAGG